GCUGGAGAGACGGGAGGUCGCAGGUGGAGGGAAUGCUGGCCCCCGGUCUCUCUGGAGCGAGGGGACUCCACGGAUCGGGGACAGGAGACACGCGUCUCCAGCCCCGGGGCCCGGCUGUGCGCGCAGGAGGGAGGACCCAGAGCGGGCUCUGCCUGGGCUUGCCUGGGCUUGUUCAGAGCCAGGCUGCUUGCCUCGGUGACUGCGCGGAUCCGGGGAGAUUUCGAGAUUUUGCGGGAGCCUUGGAACCAAGCCCCGGGGAGGAGGCGGCUGGAAGCCCGCGCGACCUGCUCGCCCCGUCCAAGGGUGAGCCCAGGGCCUGCCCUCUGGGGAGUUAAUAUUGUCGUGGCUGUUUCCAUGGUUAAGUGGUCCCAGGAAUUUUAUGAAAGAGAAGCAGCUGUAAGGAGCUUGAGGCUGCGUCAGCAGAGAGAGGGGGGCCCGGCCCGUGGCUCUCCGAGGAGGCUCAGUGUAAUUGGCUGCCUUCUGAAGCAGGCGGUUGAACUUGAGCAGUGGUUGGGAUGCCUGGACCCGCUCCCCAGGCACCACCUGUGGCCUCACACUCAGCCAGUGCUGAGAGCUCCAUGCUCACUGUCGACUUGGCUGGACAAGAAGCUAGUUCCAGCCUCCAAGGACUCCAGUUGCCACCAGCCCCACUAG
rnacentral:lncRNA from 1 species